GAAAGGUCUCUUCGUUUUGCGCGUGCAUCGGCUCGGCUCCAAAACGAGAAGACCACGGCGCUGCCCUCACCGACCUGAGCCUCAGUGAGGGCGAUGGUGGACCCCACCCUCAGCCUAAAACCUCCACCCAUCCGGAAGCCACCUCCCACCAGGAUCUUACGUCUGGUUGGCUCUGAAGACUCGAAUCAACAGCAGGGGUGGGGUGGGGUAGAAGGCUGCGGAGCAAUGAUUGGCUCCGCUAUGAGAAGGGCGGGAUCAAGCCCUGCACUGAGUGCUGAUUGGCCACCGCAAGAUCGCCCACCCAAGCUCUUCCAGGGUACCGAGGUUUUCGGGAAUCACUUAUAGGCUACGAGCGGGUCGUCUGGCUCCGUGCUGCUAUUGGCUGCUGACUUGGCGCAGGCGCUAUGGCCCCUGCGUUGGCGUUCGCGGUUGCAGAGGCAGGGCUUUGGCUACGGGAGACCAUAGGACCCACUCACUGUUCACAGCAGCACUGAGAAAAAUUCUUCACUGGGGUUCCUGACAGCUGUAUUUCAGGCUACCUGCAGGUCCGAGUUCUGCAGAGAAGGUUCAAGGUGAUCUCAUGAUUCUACUCUAAAACAUCUCCUCCUCCCCCCAGAGAGGAUGACUUGGAGGCUCCCUGCCCCCUCUGGACCAGGCCUGAGUAAGGGUGUGUGGAGGAGUGUGUGUGUGUGUGUGUGUGUGUAGGGGAGUAGGGAGAGGGGGUGGGCCAUAAAUGCAUCAUAACUGCAUGAUUUCAUGCUCUGGGAUGGAGAAGUGUGUGGCAUUUAAAGGGGAAUUUUGAAAAGGGCAAGAUGUAACUGAAUGAUAAACUUUUUAAUGAUGGGAUUUUAGGCAUGAGGCAGGGGAGGUGUUUGGCUGAGUGUAGGUAAGUAGAAGGAAAGUGGUUCUCAAGCCAGUCAACUCAUCCUAAGGUAGCUCUUACAUGCUACAUGCAGCUUGGAAGUCUGUGUCACAGAGAUUUAGGUCUUCCAGGUGUUUGUGGGGCUCUGUCUCAGGGUGAGAAGUCUCUAAGCUGUUUGGGGAUCUUUGUAUCAGGAUGUGCAGGGGGUUUUUUUUUCUCUUAAAAUGGAAUUUCAUUGUGUUUUGUUGGCAUUUCUCUGACUACUGUUGGGGCUUAAUACUGUUUUCUGAGCUUGUUGGCAAGAUGUGUUUCUUAAGUUUUACAAAUUCCCUUUUACAUCCUUUAAUCUUUUUGAAAAAUUAUUUUAAAAUCAUUUUAGACUUAGAGAAAAUUGCACAAAUAGUGCAGAGAGUUCCUGUAUACCCUUCACCCUGCUUCCCCUAGUGUAAAGGACUUACAUAACCACAGUGCGAGCUUAAAAACAGGAAAUGAAUACUAUUGUUCAUGAACUGUUGCUCACCUGUUUUCUGUCUGUGACCACGGUGUGAAAUAUCUGUCCAUUUUGGACCCAGCGCUCUCUUGGGUUCUGUGUCCCAUGCUGUGAUGCCUCUGAAUUUGGUGUAUGUUUCUAGAUGCUGGGUCUCUCACUUCCUUGGGGGUUUCUGUCUCAGAGAAUGGUAUCUUUGAUCUGUUAGGGUCUCUUCAGGGCAUAUCCUCUCUGAGCUGUUUUGGGCUUUCGUGUUCAGGGUGUGAGGUCUCUGAGCACUCUUUUUUUUUUUUUUUUUUUUUGGAUACAGACAGCAAGUGUGAGCACAUGAGCCGGGGAAGUGCAGAGGGAGAGGGAGAGAGAAUCUCAAGCAGGCUCCAUGCUCAGCAUGGAGUCCAACAUGGGGCUCGAUCCCAUGACCCUGAGAUCAUGACCUGAGCCAAAGUCGGACGCUUAACCAACUGAGCCACCCAGGUGCCUGGUUCUCUGAGUACUUUGGUAGUCUAAGUUCAAAGCUAUGUGAAAAAAAAAAAGCUAUGUGUACUCCCAGCUGGUUUUUAUUGGUCUCUGUCAGAGAUUAUGAGGUCAGUCAAUACUUUCGGAUUCUGUGUCCAGGGCAGGAUUUCUCAACCUCAGCACUAUUGACAUUUUGGACUGGAAAAUUCUUUGUUAUGGAGGGCAUUGUGGGAUGUCGUACUAGUUUGCUAGGGCUAUUAAAAAAAAAAAGGUACCACAAACUGGGGGGCUUAAGCAACAGAAAUUUAUUUUCUCAUAGUUCUGGAAGCUGGAAGUCUGAGAUCCUGGUGUCAGCAGGUUUGUUUCCUUCUGAGGGCUGAGAACAACAAUCUGUUCAUGCCUCUCUCCUAGCUUCUGGUAGUUUGCUGGCAGUCUUUGACAUUCCUUGGCUUCCGCUGUAUCAGCCCAGUUUCUUCCUUUAUCUUCACAUGGUGUUCCGUGUGUGUGUGUGUGUGUGUGUGUGUGUGUGUCCGAAUUUCCCUUUUUUAUAAACACACCAGUCAUAUUGGAUCAGGGGCCCACCCUACUCCAGGAAUACGACCUCAUUUCACAUCUGCAGCGACCCUCUUUCCAAAUAAGGCCACAAUCUGAGGCCCUAAGGGUUAGGACUUCAACAUACGAAUUUGAGGUGUGUGGGGGGGCAUAAUUCAAUCAUAAAAGAUGUUUACCAUGAGAAAGAAAGGAAAGAGGGAGGGAAGGAGGGAGCAGUCCCCAACAUCCAAUGUUGUCUUGGUACUCCCAGCUAGGCCAUGUUAUUCUCCUGUUAGAUAUAAACAGUCUCAAGAAUACUCUGAGACCAAGGUUAUUCUGAGACCGUGAUAAAACGAGACAAAGCAAAGCUACUUUAUAAUGUUGUCUAAGCACAGACAAAAACUGGUCAUUGUGCCACCUCCCCAGAUACCAAACAUCCCCCUCUCUUGGUUAAAACGAAUGACUGCUGCUUCUUUACCGAUUUCCACUUUAUCCUUACUCUAGUCUGCCCUCGCUGUAGAUAAGAUUUAUUGAGAUACCUAGUCAUCAAAUUGCUCUCACUUUCUGACAGUGUCCAAUCUAGAGUGAGCCCCACUUCUUUCGAUCUUCUACCAAAACCACUCAACUGAAGUCCUGAUCCUAUAACUGGUUCUUUCUUUUUUUAAAAAAAUUUUUUAAUGUUUAUUUAUUUUUGAGAGACAUAGACAGAGCAUGAGUGGGGGAGGAGCAGAGAGAGGGGGAGACACAAAAUCCAAAGCAGGGUCCAGGCUUUGAGCUGUCAGCAUAGAGCCCCACAUGGGGCUCAAACCCACGAACCAUGAGAUCAUGACCUGAGCCCAAGUUGGAGGCUUAAAUGACUGUGCCACCCAGGCACCCCUGGUUCUUUGUUUAUUGUUUUUUUUAUUUUUUAAUGUUUAUUAAUUUUUGAAAGACAGAGAGAGACAGAGCACAAGCAGGGGUGGGACAGAGAGAGAGGGGGACACAGAAUCUGAAACAGGCUUCAGGCUCUGAGCUGUCAGCACAGAGCCCGACGUGGGGCUCGAACUCACAGACAAUGAGAUCAUGACCUGAGCCAAAGUCAGAUGCUCAACUGACUGAGCCACCCAGGCACCCCUCUUUGUUUUGUUUUUUUUUUAAAUACUUUUUAAUUUUUUUAGUAAGCUCUAUGCCCAACAUAGGGCUUUGAACUCAUGACCCUGAGAUGAAGAGUCGCAUGCUCUUCUGACUCAGCCAGCCAGGCACCCCUGAUUGGUUCUUUCAGAUACCCUCUUACUAAGACGUCUCUUGGCUCCCAUGGUGUGCGUUCUCCCUCACUGAAAUGCAUAAUGAACCCUACUUGUUCAAUUAUAGGUAUGUUCCCGGGGGGUCUUUGGCUAAAGGUGGCAUCCCUGAUCUCUACCCACUAGAUGCCAGUAGCAUCUCUCCCCUCCCAGCUGUGACAACCAAAAAUGUUCUCAGGUAUUACCACAUGUACUCUGGGGGGCAAAUUGCCUCUGGUGGAGAGCCACUGGUACAGGGUAUGAAGUGUUUGAGCAGUUUGGGAGUCUCUGUCUCAAGUUUGCAUUCUCUGAGAUGUGUUUGGGUCUAUUCCUCAGGAUAUGAAGUCACUCAUCUGUGUUAAAGUCUCUGUCCCAAUGUUUGAAAGCCCUGAGCUCUUUGGGGUGCUGUAUAAGGAAUGAGUGAUCUCUGCCAGAAUUAGGACAUGAGGUAUUUGUGGUGCAUGUGCGCACAUGCACACACGCACCACCCUCCCCCCCCCCACCCCACAACACCAUCCUGGCUAUACGCCAGUUCAGAAAGGCUGUGAGAAAUGGGGGUUGUGUGAUUGGUAGUGAAGUGCUCCGCAUGAAUUCACAGCCACCCCAGCUUCCUUGUCUAGACCAGGAAAUACAGGUGGCCACUUCCUUCAGAACCUCUGUCUUGCCCUUUGUUCUGGAGGUCACAGAGUCUCCCUUGAUCCCAUUUGUGGAGAUUAUGUUGUGGGAAGGUGUUUGUUGUGUCUCCUCGCACCAGCCCCAGAGUGGAGAGCCCUGUCUUGGGAUGGAUUGUUCAGAUGGAUGUUGGAGUCUAUUUCCCCUCAGGCCUUGUCCACAUCCAGGACACAUGGGUGUUUGGGGCCUGGUAGAACCUGUUUCAGAGCCUGGAACCCCCAAGUCCUGGUUGGAUAGAAGGGGAGUCCAGUGUUUUGGAGGUUUUGCAAGACUGCUCUGAGUACAAAUGGACUCUCCUGAUUUCAGCCCCUUCUCCCCUAAUUACGCAUCCCUUCUGAAAGCAAAAUUCAGGGUUGGGGAAAGGGGUGAGGUACAGGUAAAUGCUAUCUCUGGCCAGGGGGCCAGUGUGUGUGUGAGACGGUCUCAGUUGGACCAUGGGAGUCAUGUGCACAUAUUGCUUAAUAUAAAUGUGCGUUGGGUUCAAUAAAGAGUAAAUAUUCUCUAGAAUUGUGUUUCCAUCUCUGGUAAACCCAUAGUUUGCCUUCAGCUGAACCUUUGAGAACAUACAUAAUAGGGUGCGCAGUGAGAAAACAGUGAGAAAAAACACUGUUUUUCUUGUGAAAACUGUAAAUCCUGUUAUAAGAGAGACAGGUUUGUCCUUUUAUGCAAGAGACAGGGUUUGAGCUCUAGAGAGAGGCUUUGGGGGAGGGCGCAGGGCCUCGGUGAGUCAAAGAAGUCAGAAGUUAAAAAAUAUAGUUUGAACUAAAUGAAAAUGAAAAUAAAACUUACCAAGUUUGUGGGAUACAGCAAAGCAGGGCUUACAUAGAGGAAAUUUUUAAGGCAUUUGGCUUCUGUCUUGCUCUUUCUUGGAUCACGCCCUCUAGUGGAAGCCAGCCAUCCUGUCGCAAGGACACUCAAGCAGCUGCAUGGAGAGAUCUACUUACCAGAGAACUGAGGUCCCCCAGCCCAAAGCCAUCACCAAAUUGCCAGCAAUGUGAGUGAUCCAGCUUGGAAGCAGCGCUUCCGGCCCCACUCAAGCCUUCCAAUGACUGCAGCCUGAGAGACCCAAAGCCAGAGCCAUGCAGCUAAGCUGCUCCUGAAUUCCCAGCUCCCCCAAACUGUGUGAGAUGAUUAGUGUUUGCUGUUGUUUCAAGCUGCUAAGUUUUGGGUUCAUUUGUGGCGUUUCUGAGCUCUCUGAGGGUCUCUGUCUAGGGUUUGAGAUUUCUGAGCUUUUUGUGGCCUAUAUCCAUAUCUGGGUGUUGGGGACACUCCAUGUUGCACAUUUUUAGGUCUCUGAUCUCUUUAGGGUCUCUCUCAGGGUUUUUAGGCCUCUGAACUAUUUGGGGAUCUGUGUCUGAAAGCAUGGGGAUUCUGGGCUGUUUCUGGUUCAUGUCCAGGACAUGAUCAUAACUGUUUGGGAUCCUUUAAUCCCAGGGUAUGAUGUCUCUAAGAUAACUUUGUACUUGAGUCCAGAACUUGAAGUCUCUGAGCUCCUUUGCAGUCUGUGUUCUGGGUGUGAGAUCUUUGAGGUAUUUGGGAGUCUGUAUCUCUGGUUUCACAGCCGUGAACGCUUUGGAGGACUGUAUGUAGGUUUUGUUUGUUCUUUUAGGUGUAUGGAGUUUUAAGUCCCAGGAAGAGACAUCACCGAGGUGACUGGAAUCUGCAUCCAGGUGUUCAAACAGUUUGGGCCCCUGAGUCCCUAGAUAUGAAGUCCUUGCUGUGUUUGAGAGUCGAUGUCCAGAUAUUGAUAUUUCUGGUUUUGAGGGCAGGCGGAGCCUGUGUUUCAGGUUGUCAGCUCUCUGAACUAUUUCUGGGUGUGUGUCCCAGUAUGUAAAGUUCCUGAGUUGUUUAUGGGUGUGUGUCCCAAAUGUGUGGGGUCCCGGACAUGGCUGUGGCUCUGUGUUGUAGUAUAUGAGGUCUCUGUUCAUGGGUGUAUGUGGCAGCGUGUGAGGUAACUGAACUCCUUGAGUGUGUGUGCACAAGAUCAUAAGGUCUCUGAUCUGUUUGGGUGUGUGUUUCCCAGCAUGAGAAUUUUUUAUUUGUUUGCGGGUGUAUAUUCCAUGGUGUUAGUUCUCUAAUCUGUUCAGAUGUGUAUGUCCUGGGUGUGAGGUUUCUGCUAUGCUCGUGGGUAUAUGGUCUAAUGGUGUAAAGGUUUCUGAUCCACCUAGGGGUAUAUGUCCCAGGGUAUGAGGUCUCUGAUCUGUUUGUCAUUGUAUGUCUCAGGAUGUGAGGUCUCUCUUCUGGAUGCACGUCAAGGGUAGGAGGUCUCUAAUCUGUUUUUAGUUUUAUGUCCCCGGAUGUUAGAUCUCUGGUCUCUGUGGGUAUAUAUGCCAACGGGUGAGCUCUCUGUCAUGUUUGUGGGUAUAUGUCCCAAUAGAUGAGGUCUCUGAGGUCUUUGUGGAUAUAUUUUCCUGGUCGGUAUGUUUCUGAGCUUUUUUGGUUAUGUUUUGGUUAUGUUCUCUCAGGGCACUCUGGUCCAUUUGUUGGGUGUAUGUUGCAGGAUGAUAAGGAUUGUCUGUCUGAGGGUGUAUGUCCCAGGGUGUGAGGCCUGCUGUGUUUGUGGGUGUAUGUCUCUGAGUGUGAUAUAUCUAAAAUGUUUGUGAGUAUAGUUCCCAAGAUAUAAGUUCCCUGAACUCUUUGUGGGUGUGUGUCCCAGAAAAGGAAAUCUAUGAUCUAUUUGUGAGCAUAUGUUCCAGAACAUGAGGUCUCAGAGCUGUCUGUCCCUGUGUGUGUCCCAAUAUGUGAGGUCUCUCUUCAUGGGUGUAGAUCAAAGGUACGAGUUCUCUGGUACUUUUGUGUUGGUACCUCCCAGGGAAUGAGGCCUCUGAGCUGUCCGGGGUUGGGGAAUUUCACAUAAUGUGAGUUCUCAAGUAUGGUUGUGGCUAUAUGACCUAGCAUAUAGGUCUCUGAUCUCUUUGGGUGUGUAUGUUCCAUAGUUUGAAAUCUCUGAGCUCUUUAUUGAUGUAUAUUCCAGGAUGUGAGGUCUCUGAUCUUCUUGUUGUUAUAUACUGCUAGUACGCGAGUCUGCCUUCACUGGUAUAUGUCAAAAUCCAUUUGUGUGUGUAUUUCCCAGUGUAUGAGGUCCCUGAUCUGUUUCCAGGUGUAUGUUCCAGAGUAAGAAGCCUCUAAUAUGUCUCUGAUCUUUUCAUAAAUGUAUCAGGAGUUUGAGGUCCUUCAUCCCUGUGGUUGUAAUUCCCAGAGGCCUUGUCCGUGUUGUGUGUGUGGCUCUACGUCCAAGAAUAUUAUGUAUCUGUAUUGUUUCUGCAAGUAUGCCCCAGUUGUGAGGUCUCUGAUCUCUUUGUGGGUAUAUUCAUCAGAAUGGGAGAUCUCUGAUAUGUUUGUGGGUGUAUGUCCCAGAGUGUGAGGUCACUAAUGUUUGUGCAUGUAAACCCUAGGAUUUGAGGUCUGUGAUAUGCUUAUCACUAUAAUUAUCAAUGUGUGAAAUGUCUCUCAUGGGUGUAUGCCAAAGGCAUGAGCUCUCUGAUAUGUCUGUGUUUAUAUGAACGUGGGUGUAAGAUCUCUUAUUUGUUUAUGGGUGUAUGUCUCAGUGUGUGAGGUUUUGGGGGGUUAUAUCCCAUGGUCUGUUCUGUUUGGGGGUUAUUUGCUGGGAUAUGACGUGUACGUAUUUUUAUCACUGUAUAUCCCAGUAUGUGAGGUCUCUCAGAUGGGUGUAUAUAGAAAGUGUAAGGUCUUUGAUCUAUUUGUGGUUAUAUAUCCCUGGGUGUGAGAUCUCUGAUAAGUUCGUGGAUUUAAUUCUUUUUUUUUUAAGUUUUAUUUUUUAAUUUUUUAAUUUUUAAUUUUUAUUUCAUUUAUUUAUUUAUUGAGAGAGAGAGUGUAGGAGGGGCAGAAAGAGAGGGAGAGAGAGAGAAUCCCAAGCAGGCUCCUCACUGUCAGCUCAGAGCCUAAUGCUGGGCUCAAACUCACAAACCAUGAGAUCACGACCCGAGCUGAAACCAAGAGUUGGCCGCUUAGCUGACUGAGCCACCCGGGCACCCCACAUGGAUUUAAUUCUUACACUUUGACAUUGCCGAUCUGUUUGCAAGUGUUAUGUCACAUGAUGCGAUAUCUCUGAUCUUUUCGAGGGUGUAAGACCUGCAGUGUGAAGUGUCUUUCUAUCCCUCGUGUAUUUCCAAACACGUGAGGUGUCUCACCUGUGUGAGGGUGUGUGUCCCAUGAUGUGAGGCCUCUUACUUAUUUGCAGGUAUAUUCCCAAGAUGUGAGCUCUUUUCCUCCCUUUUGAGCAUAUGUCCCAAUUUGCUUCGUUUCUGAGUAUAUUUCCCGCCCUGUGAUGUCUCAGCUGUUUGGGGUGUAUACUGCAGGAUUUGAGCUCUCUGGUGUAUCAUACAUGUAUGUCUCAGGUUCUGAGGUUGCUAAUGUCUUUGUGGGUGCGUAUCCCAGAAUGGGAGUCUCUGAUCUGUUUGCGUUUGCCAAGGGUAUAAAGUCUGAUAUGGUUGUGCAUAUAUGUCUCAGGAUGUUAGGACCCUAGCUGUUUGUGGGUAUAUGUCCCAGGAUGUGAAGUGUCUGACCUGUUUGGGUGUGUUCGUCCAUGGGGGUGAGAUUUCUGAUCAGUUUUUCAGGAGCAUUACGUCCCAGGAUGUAAUGUCUCUGAUCUCAUUAUGGGUCUAAUUCCCAGGAUUUAAGGUCUCUGAUCACGUAUGGAUAUAUGUCCCGGAAUGUGUUUCUUUACUUUUUACAAGUAUAUGUCCCAGGUCGUAGGUUCUCUGAUCUGCUAGGGGGUUCUUUGCCAAGAUCUGAGGUUUCUGAUCUGUUUAUGGGUAUGUGUCAUAGAAUGCGAAGUCUUGGCUCUUUUAUGGUGUGUUUUAUGUCCAGAGUGUCAGGUUUCUGACUUCUCUGUGGUUGUGUGUCAUGGUGUGAGGUCUCUUCUCUCUUCCUGUGUGAUUCAGUAUGUGCUCUCUGGUCGUGAAUUUUGACAAGGAUGUAAGUUCUCUGAUCUGCUUAUUGAGUAUUGCAGGAUAUAAAGUCUCUGAUCUGCUUGGUGGUGAGUAUCCCAGUGUGUGAGGUGUCUGAGCUCUGUGUGUGUAUGUGUGUGUGUGUGUGUGUCCCAGGUUGUGAGGUUUCUGGUCUGUUUAGGAGUGAAUGACAGCAGGUGCCAUAUGUGAACUCUUGAUGGGUAUAUGUUCCAGGCUUUGAGGACUGUGACAUGGUAGUCGGUAUAUGUGCUGGGCGCGAGUGGACGUGAGAACCAUAAUCUGUUUCUGGAUGUACCACCCAGCGUGUGAGGCCUCUGAAUUGUUUGUAGGUUUCUGUUGCAGGAUUUGAAGUCUGUGAUUUCUUUUUUAUCUUUAAGUAAACUAUACGCCCAACGUGGAGCUCAAACUCGUGACCCUGAGAUCGAGGGUUGCAUACUCUACUGACUGAGCUGGCCAGGUGCGCCUAGUCUAUGAUUUCUUUAUGGCUAAACUUUCCAGGCUGUUAGGUCCCUGAUCUGUUUGUGGGUGUAUAUAUGAGGUGUGAGUUCCCUGACUGGUCUGUGGGUGUAUGUCCCAGGAUGUCACAUCUCUAUCAGUCUGUGCCAUGUACGUCAUGUCUGAAUACUCGCCCCCCCCCCCAAUGAUAUCCACGUCCCAAUCCCUGGAACCUGUGAUUAUGUUAACUUUCUGGCAAAAAGGACUUUGUAGGUAUAAUGAAGUGAACCACUUUGAGAUUGGGAUUUCAUCCUGGACUAUCCAGGUGGGCCUAACAUAAUGAUUAAAGUCCUUAUAUGUGGGAGGCAGGAUGGUAAGAGUUGGAAAUGGCAGUGUGACAGUGAUACAAGCUGAGUCAAAGAUGGUGACAUAAAGAUGGAAACAGACUCAGAGAAAGAGCUACAACAACUGAAUCAGAGGGAAGCAAAAUCGGAGAGAGAUUUGAAGAAUGAAACCCUGCUGGCUUUGAAGAUGGAGGAAAGGGCCAUGAACCAGGGAAUGUAGCAGCCCCUAAAACCGGAAAAUGCCAUGAAAUGGAUUCUAUGUUGGAGCCUCCAGGAGGAAGGCAGGUCUGCUGACAACUUGAUUUUAUCUCUGUAAGACUCAUUUUCGGGUUUCUGACCCGUAGAAACGUAAGGUAAUAAAUGUGUGUUAUUUUACAACACUAA